rnacentral:rRNA from 1 species
AUUGAACGCUAGCGGGAUGCUUUACACAUGCAAGUCGAACGAGUGGCGGACGGGUGAGUAAUAUAUCGGAACCUGCCCAGUGGAGGGGGAUAACUACUGGAAACUGUCGCUAAUACCGCGUACCAUUGGAUGGGCCCAAAUGGGAUUAGCUAGUUGGUGGGGUAAAGGCCUACCAAGCCAACGAUCCGUAGCUGGUUUGAGAGGAUGACCAGCCACACUGGGACUGAGACACGGCCCAGACUCCUACGGGAGGCAGCAGUGGGGAAUAUUGGGCAAUGGGGGAAACCCUGAUGCAGCCAUGCCGCGUGUAUGAGAAGGCCUUCGGGUUGUAAAGUACUUUUGGCAGAGAAGCGUUAUAUGCAGAAUAAGCACCGGCUAACUACGUGCCAGCCGCCGCGGUAAUAC